ACCUCUGACCUCACGUGAGCAACAUAGGCUCCUGCUGACCACUGAUGUGAGGCGAGUGACGUAGGCGUGGUGACGCAGGCGUGGUGGCGCAGGAUACGCUACCGCUGACCUCCGACGUGAGGUCAGAAGGAGGCGGUAGGCUUCCACACUGCCGGGCCAAGACCUGGCAGAGCUGAAGGCGCUGCUGUCAGAAAGCAGCUACAGUGAAGCCAUGGAGGGGCCGGGGCCUGCCGGUUGUCCUCCGUUCUCGCAAGUGCCGCAGACCCCCACGGUUGUGGAAGAGCGGAGGCAGAGCUGAGAGGCGGGAAGGGGCACUGCCUGCCACGCGCCCUGCGCCAGGGUUGUGCUACUCAAGGAGAGCCAUCAGCGAUCAGCAACUAGUGAGCGCUUGGAAGUGUUACUGAGAAACUGGUGAUAUGAAUGAGGCAAACCCUGUGACUUAUUACAAUAGCGACUUGGCAAUUAGACAUCUCCCCGAAAGAAGCCCCUGCCUGUUUUUAGUGAUGAAGAAGGAGAUCUGAAGCUGACUGCUAGCAGGCUCUGGGACAAAGAGACACACAGGCGAGGCACCUGCUAAAACCCUCGAGAUCAGAGUUCCUCAUCCUUACCAGAGGCCAUGGGUCUCACCUUCAGUGUCAUCCCAAGAGGCCUCCUCUGAUCACCUCUCGACAGCCCCUCAGGUGCUUCCUGCCACAACCUGGAAUGGUCCACCUGCUCUCCCCAUGAGGGUGUGAAG